AUUGAACGCUGGCGGCAUGCCUUACACAUGCAAGUCGAACGGUAACAGGUUAAGCUGACGAGUGGCGAACGGGUGAGUAAUGUACCGGAACGUGCCCAGUCGUGGGGGAUAACUGCUCGAAAGAGCAGCUAAUACCGCAUACGACCUGAGGGUGAAAGCGGGGGAUCGCAAGACCUCGCGCGAUUGGAGCGGCCGAUAUCAGAUUAGGUAGUUGGUGAGGUAAAGGCUCACCAAGCCGACGAUCUGUAGCUGGUCUGAGAGGACGACCAGCCACACUGGGACUGAGACACGGCCCAGACUCCUACGGGAGGCAGCAGUGGGGAAUUUUGGACAAUGGGCGCAAGCCUGAUCCAGCCAUGCCGCGUGCGGGAAGAAGGCCUUCGGGUUGUAAACCGCUUUUGUCAGGGAAGAAAAGGUUCUGGCUAAUACCUGGGACUCAUGACGGUACCUGAAGAAUAAGCACCGGCUAACUACGUG
rnacentral:rRNA from 1 species